GGCGAUUUGUAAGUAGGACAACAAGUGUCCACGAUAUGUAAAAAUAAGUGAGCUGUUCACUGCUGAAAGUGUGAGAAAUAGACAGUCCAGUGAUCCAUUUUCAGAAUACAGUUUUUGCUUUAAAUGAAAAAUGAGAGGACGUAGGAAAGGCAGCUGGAGGGGAGAGCUAGCUCCUUUACCUCAGAGUUGGAAAAUGGAAGAUGGAGGUGAACUCAGAUGGAAGUUACAAGAAGGAGGGUGGUACUCAGGAUGCAUUUUCUUUUUUUCUUUCUUUUUUAAAAUUUGUUCUUAGGUAUGAGACAAUAGCUAAGAACAUGACAAUAGAAUGCAUUUUGACAUAUUAUACAUAUAUGGAGUACAUCUUCCCAUUUUUCUCAUUGUACAUGAUGUGGAAUUAAUUACAUUUGUUGUGUAUUCAUAUAUGUACAUAGGAAAGUGAUGUUCCAUUCAUUCUAAGAUGUUUCCUAUUCCCUUCUCCCCUUCCUUCUUUACGGUCCCCCAGAAUGCCUUUUCAUUAACCACUUCACAAAUAUUGUCUUUCAUGCUCUGACCAGAACCUGAAAUGAGUUUUUCUGCUAUCAGUCCCACUUCCCCCAAUGGUGAGUGUUCUAUUUCUUGUCACUUAAAUAAACGCAGCUGCUUUAACUCUUCCUUUUCGUGAUUG
rnacentral:lncRNA from 1 species